CCUAACUAGAAUAAACAAACCAUACAAUUAAGUUUAUUUUUUAAAAAAAAUUAUUUGUUCUUAAUAUAUAAAAACACAAAAAUUUGAUGUUAACAAAAAUAAAAAAUAACAAUAUAUAAAAAGGUUUGAAGACGACAGUAUAAGCGGGGGUAAAAACGUAGCUCAUAGGCGCCAUAUACAUAUACAUAUUUUUAAGAAAUGGAAAAAAAAAAUGAUGAACCAUUAAACGAAAUAAUAAUUAAUAAUAAAAUAGCUAAUAGUUUAUGUACAAAAAGUACAAUUAGUAACAAUAAAAAUAAUGAAAAUACAAAUGAUAAAAAAAAACUAAUUAGCGAAACGCUACCAUUUAAUAAUGAUAUUAUAAAUAUAUUAACAGAACAUGACCAAACCUGUUCAGAAAAAAAAAAAAAUAAACAGAAUGGCAAAAGCUAUAGUAGUUAUGAUGAAAAUAUUUAUACAACAAAAACAACCCAUGAUAUAAUAUCUCAUUCGGAUUCUUCCAUCGCGUCUAAAAAUAAAAAAGAAAGUAUAUUAACAUGUGAUGAAAAGCAAUCUUUCAAUUGUUUAAUCGAAUUAAAAAAUAAUUCAUAUUUAAAUGAAAAGUUGAUCAACAGUAGUCAGAAUUAUGGCACAUUUAAAAAAAUCAGUGACAAAUUUUUUCAAAGUGUGGUUGAAUAUGAUAAAGAAAAUGAUACAUUAGGGGAUUUGGAUAGUAAUAAUAGUAGUAAUAGUAAUAGUAAUAACAAUAGUAGUAAUAAUAACAAUAGUAGUAAUAAUAACAAUANNNNNNNNNNUAAUAACAAUAGUAGUAAUAAUAACAAUAGUAGUAAUAAUAACAAUAAUAGUGAAGAUAAAAAUUUUAAUGAAAAAGAAAAACAUCUUUUUUACAAAAAAGUUGAUGCACUACUAAAUUUAGAUGGCGAAGAUUCGCUUGAAAAUGAUAUAUUUAAUAGCAAUGGACCAGAUGAGGGUUAUAAAAAUGAAUUACAAACUGGUAGUUAUGUAGAGAGUGAAGGUGAACAAGUGUAUGGACAAACUGACGUACAGCGAUUCGAACAUAUGAGUGUACAGCCGUCCAAACAGGUGGACAUACAAACGCACAAGCGGAAAACCAAACGAAAAGUCUAUUUUUGUGAUGUUUCCAACAUAAAAGAAGCAAAAUUACAUGCGCUUUUGAAAACAAAUAAAUAUGAAAUUACAAAAAUGAAUAUGCCAAUAAAUAAUAAUAUAUAUAAAUAUUUGUAUAAGUGUAAGAAAAAUGAGACUACUAGAAAGGUAGGACUAGAUAUAAAGGGUGAUAUAACGAAAAACGACGAAGUAGAAAAUUCAACUGAUACUGCUAUGGUACUAGGAAAAAAUGAAUCAGCUGAAUCUUCCGAUUUAUCUAUUGAGCAAUUUACUUAUACUGAUAAAGUAAAAAAAAAUGAAAAAAAACAAAAAAGGAGUAGUGAAGAAGAAAAAAAUUGUGCGUUAAGUUAUGUAAACAUAAAUAAAAGUUCUAAUUUUUUUUAUUUUGAAUAUUAUAUGAGAAAAAGAAAAAUCAUAAAACUUGAC
ensembl:lncRNA